rnacentral:rRNA from 1 species
UACGGAGGGUGCAAGCGUUAUCCGGAUUUAUAGGGUUUAAAGGGUCCGUAGGCGGACUUAUAAGUCAGUGGUGAAAUCUCAUAGCUUAACUAUGAAACUGCCAUUGAUACUGUAAGUCUUGAGUGUAGUUGAGGUAGCUGGAAUAAGUAGUGUAGCGGUGAAAUGCAUAGAUAUUACUUAGAACACCAAUUGCGAAGGCGGGUUACCAAGUUACAACUGACGCUGAUGGACGAAAGCGUGGGGAGCGAACAGGAUUAGAUACCCAGGUAGUCCACGCUGUAAACGAUGCUAACUCGUUUUUGGGGCGCAAGCUUCAGAGACCAGGCGAAAGUGAUAAGUUAGCCACCUGGGGAGUACGAACGCAAGUUUGAA